AGAGUUUGAUCCUGGCUCAGGACGAACGCUGGCGGCGUGCCUAACACAUGCAAGUCGAGCGGAGACAGUGAGUAGCUUGCUAUGAACUGUUUUAGCGGCGGACGGGUGAGUAACGCGUGAGCAACCUUUCCCAGACAGGGGAAUAACACACCGAAAGGUGUACUAAUACCGCAUAAGACCACGGGAUCACAUGGUUCUGGGGUAAAAGAAUUAUCGGUUUGGGGUGGGCUCGCGUCCGAUUAGGUAGUUGGUGAGGUAACGGCCCACCAAGCCGACGAUCGGUAGCCGACCUGAGAGGGUGAUCGGCCACAUUGGGACUGAGACACGGCCCAAACUCCUACGGGAGGCAGCAGUGGGGAAUAUUGGGCAAUGGAGGAAACUCUGACCCAGCAACGCCGCGUGGAGGAAGAAGGUUUUCGGAUCGUAAACUCCUGUCCUUGGAGACGAGUAGAAGACGGUAUCCAAGGAGGAAGCCCCGGCUAACUACGUGCCAGCAGCCGCGGUAAUACGUAGGGGGCAAGCGUUGUCCGGAAUAAUUGGGCGUAAAGGGCGCGUAGGCGGCUCGGUAAGUCUGGAGUGAAAGUCCUGCUUUUAAGGUGGGAAUUGCUUUGGAUACUGUCGGGCUUGAGUGCAGGAGAGGUUAGUGGAAUUCCCAGUGUAGCGGUGAAAUGCGUAGAGAUUGGGAGGAACACCAGUGGCGAAGGCGACUAACUGGACUGUAACUGACGCUGAGGCGCGAAAGUGUGGGGAGCAAACAGGAUUAGAUACCCUGGUAGUCCACACUGUAAACGAUGAAUGCUAGGUGUAGGGGGUAUCGACCCCUUCUGUGCCGCAGUCAACACAAUAAGCAUUCCGCCUGGGGAGUACGGCCGCAAGGUUGAAACUCAAAGGAAUUGACGGGGGCCCGCACAAGCAGCGGAGCAUGUGGUUUAAUUCGACGCAACGCGAAGAACCUUACCAGGUCUUGACAUCCACUUAAACUUACAGAGAUGUAAGGUGUGCUUGCACAAAGUGAGACAGGUGGUGCAUGGUUGUCGUCAGCUCGUGUCGUGAGAUGUUGGGUUAAGUCCCGCAACGAGCGCAACCCUUAUCUUCAGUUACUAACGCGUAGAGG
rnacentral:rRNA from 1 species